GGCACGAUGGCGGAGUGGUCUAACGCGUGAGACUUGAACUAGAUCCGAUUCGGUUCGGUUUACGAUAUCUCAUAUCUUCGGAUGCGCAGGUUCAAAUCCUGCUCGUGUCG
rnacentral:tRNA from 1 species